AUACGUAGGGGGCUAGCGUUAUCCGGAAUUACUGGGCGUAAAGGGUGCGUAGGUGGCCUGACAAGUCAGGGGUCAAAGGCAACGGCUCAACCGUUGUAAGCCCUUGAAACUGUCGGGCUUGAGUUCAGGAGAGGAAAGCGGAAUUCCUAGUGUAGCGGUGAAAUGCGUAGAUAUUAGGAGGAACACCAGUAGCGAAGGCGGCUUUCUGGACUGUAACUGACACUGAGGCACGAAAGCGUGGGGAGC
rnacentral:rRNA from 1 species